UUGGAGAAGUUUGAUCCUGGCUCAGGAUGAACGCCGGCGGUGUGCCUAAUACAUGCAAGUCGAACGCGUUGGCCCAAUUGAUUGAUGGUGCUUGCACCUGAUUGAUUUUGGUCGCCAACGAGUGGCGGACGGGUGAGUAACACGUAGGUAACCUGCCCAGAAGCGGGGGACAACAUUUGGAAACAGAUGCUAAUACCGCAUAACAGCGUUGUUCGCAUGAACAACGCUUAAAAGAUGGCUUCUCGCUAUCACUUCUGGAUGGACCUGCGGUGCAUUAGCUUGUUGGUGGGGUAACGGCCUACCAAGGCGAUGAUGCAUAGCCGAGUUGAGAGACUGAUCGGCCACAAUGGGACUGAGACACGGCCCAUACUCCUACGGGAGGCAGCAGUAGGGAAUCUUCCACAAUGGGCGCAAGCCUGAUGGAGCAACACCGCGUGAGUGAAGAAGGGUUUCGGCUCGUAAAGCUCUGUUGUUAAAGAAGAACACGUAUGAGAGUAACUGUUCAUACGUUGACGGUAUUUAACCAGAAAGUCACGGCUAACUACGUGCCAGCAGCCGCGGUAAUAA
rnacentral:rRNA from 2 species